rnacentral:rRNA from 1 species
AGCGAACGCUAGCGGCGGGCCUAACACAUGCAAGUCGAGCGGAGGGGCAACCCUCAGCGGCGAACGGGUGAGUAACACGUAGGUAAUGUACCCUCUGGUGGGGAAUAACCGUGGGAAACCAUGGCUAAUACCGCAUAUGUCUUUCGAGAUGAAAGCAGCAAUGCGCCAGAGGAGCAGCCUGCGGCCGAUUAUUUAGUCCUAGUUGGUGAGGUAAUGGCUCACCAAGGGUACGAUCGGUAGCUGGUCUGAGAGGAUGAUCAGCCACACUGGAACUGAGACACGGUCCAGACUCCUACGGGAGGCAGCAGUGGGGAAUAUUGCGCAAUGGGCGAAAGCCUGACGCAGCCACGCCGCGUGAGUGAUGAAGGUCUUCGGAUCGUAAAGCUCUGUGGGGGGAGAAGAAGAAAGCCGGUGAAGGGCCGGCCCUGACGGUAUCCCCUUAGCAAGCACCGGCUAACUCCGUGCCAGC